rnacentral:rRNA from 1 species
AUGACGAGGAAGCACGCGGGCACCGGCGUCCUCCGCGCCCUCGUCGCCGUCGCGGCCUCCGUCGCGUCCGCCUCGUCCCGUACGCCCCCGAGGCGCGCCGCGCCCUACCUCGCCGUCCUCCUCCGCCGGGGCCGCGCCGAGGCCGCGGCGCGCCUCAACCGCCACCUCCGCCUGCUGCCUCUCCCGGAGUCCCCUGCCCUACUCUCGGCGCUCCCCUCCGUCCGCGACGCCGUCUCCUACAACACCGUCCUCGCCGCGCUCUGCCGCCAGGGCUGCCUCGACGCCGCGCUCUUCCUCCUCCGCGUCAUGUCGCAUGAGCCCCGCCUCGCCUGCCGCCCCAAUGCCAUCUCCUACACCACCCUCAUGCGCGCGCUCUGCGCCGACCGUCGCGCGGGCCAGGCCGUCGGGCUGCUUCGGUCCAUGCAGGACUGCGGCGUCCGCCCCGACGUGGUCACCUACGGCACGCUCAUCCGUGGGCUGUGCGACGCCGCGGACGUUGACAAGGCCGUGGAGCUGCUGAAUGAGAUGUGCGAGAGUGGUAUCGAGCCUAACGUGGUUGUGUACAGCUGUUUACUCCAUGGUUAUUGCAAGACUGGGAGGUGGGAAAGCGUAGGCAAGGUGUUCGAAGAAAUGUCUGAGAGGGGUAUUGAGCCCGAUGUUGUGAUGUACACUGGUUUGAUCGAUAGCCUGUGUAGACACGGGAAGGUAACAAAGGCAACGCGGGUGAUGGAAAUGAUGACGGAGCGGGGGUUGGAGCCAAACGUGGUGACCUACAAUGUGCUGAUCAAUUCCAUGUGCAAGGAAGGGUCUGUGAGGGAGGCGCUCGAUUUGCGGAAGAAUAUGCUGGAGAAGGGCGUGCAACCAGAUGUUGUGACAUAUAACACACUCAUCACAGGGCUAUCCAGUGUGCUUGAGAUGGAUGAGGUGAUGGCGUUACUAGAGGAGAUGAUGCAAGGUGAAACUAAAGUUAGGCCUGAUUUGAUGACAUUCAACUCGGUUAUAUAUGGACUUUGUAAGAUUGGUUGGAUGCGGCAAGCGUUCGAGGUCCGUGCCAUGAUGGCUGAGAAUGGAUGCAGGUGUAACUUGGUGACAUUUAACCUGCUGAUUGGUGGACUCCUUAGAGUCCACAAGGUAAAGAAGGCCAUGAAGCUGAAGGAUGAGAUGGCUAGUUCUGGACUGCAGCCUGAUUCGUUCACCUAUGGCAUAUUGAUAAAUGGCUUCUGUAAAAUGCGGCAAGUUGAACGUGCGGAAAGCCUCCUGUCUGAAAUGAGACGUCAAGGGAUGGAGCCUGAGCCAGUUCACUAUAUUCCUUUGCUUAAAGCUAUGUGUGAUCAAGGCAUGAUGGGGCAGGCUAGGGAUUUGUUCAAUGAAAUGGAUGGGAACUGCAAAUUAGAUGCUGCUGCAUAUAGCACUAUGAUCCAUGGUGCUUUCAAAUCAGGGGAGAAGAAAAUUGCAGAAGAGUUCCUUAAAGAUAUGAUUGAUGAGGGGCUGAUUCCUGAUGCUGUGACAUAUUCUAUCCCAAUCAACAUGUUUGCAAAAUCUGGAGACCUAGCAGCGGCGGAGCGGGUGCUUAAACAGAUGACCGCAAGUGGCUUUGUGCCCGACGUUGCUGUAUUUGAUUCACUGAUCCAAGGUUAUGGAGCUAAAGGCAACACCGAGAAGGUUCUUGAGUUAACUCGUGAAAUGACAGCCAAGGGUGUAGCACUUGAUUCUAAAAUUAUUUCAACUAUUGUCACUUCUCUUGGGGCAAGUAAUGACGGCCAAAAGUUAUUGCAGAGUUUGCCUGGUUUUGAUACAGAAAUAUCAAAAGGCGACUCUAUCUCGUCACAUGAUGUAAUGAAUAUGCUGCAAAAACAUUGCACCAAACUUGAAUCCCCUGUUCCUUGCUGA